GAUGAACGCUGACAGAAUGCUUAACACAUGCAAGUCAACUUGAACUUCGGUUUGGGUGGCGGACGGGUGAGAAACGCGUAAAGAACUUGCCUCACAGAUAGGGACAACAUUUGGAAACGAAUGCUAAUACCUGAUAUUAUGAUUAUAUGGCAUCGUAUAAUUAUGAAAGCUAUAUGCGCUGUGAGAGAGCUUUGCGUCCCAUUGGCUAGUUGGAGAGGUAACGGCUCACCAAGGCGAUGAUGGGUAGCCGGCCUGAGAGGGUGAUCGGCCACAAGGGGACUGAGACACGGCCCUUACUCCUACGGGAGGCAGCAGUGGGGAAUAUUGGACAAUGGACCAAGAGUCUGAUCCAGCAAUUCUGUGUGCACGAUGAAGUUUUUCGGAAUGUAAAGUGCUUUCAGUUGGGAAGAAAAAAAUGACGGUACCAACAGAAGAAGUGACGGCUAAAUACGUG
rnacentral:rRNA from 1 species